rnacentral:rRNA from 1 species
AAUUUGAAAUCUGGCCCCUUCGGGGUCCGAGUUGUAAUUUGUAGAGAGUGCUUCGGGGGAGACCGCGGUCUAAGUCCAUUGGAACAUGGCGUCACAGAGGGUGAGAAUCCCGUAUGUGACCGUGGCUCGAACCCAUGUGAAGCCUCUUCGACGAGUCGAGUUGUUUGGGAAUGCAGCUCAAAAUGGGUGGUAAAUUUCAUCUAAAGCUAAAUACUGGCUGGAGACCGAUAGCGCACAAGUAGAGUGAUCGAAAGAUGAAAAGCACUUUGGAAAGAGAGUUAAAAAGUACGUGAAAUUGUUGAAAGGGAAGCGCUGGCAACCAGACCUGCCCGUAGGCGAUCAGCCGCUGUUCUCAGCGGUGCACUCGCUCUGCGAUCAGGCCAGCAUCGGUUCCGGCGGUCGGAUAAAGGCCUUGGGAAUGUACCUUCCCUUCGGGGGAGUCUUAUAGCCCUCGGUGCAAUGCGGCCAGCCGGGACCGAGGACCGCGCUUCGGCUAGGAUGCUGGCGUAAUGGUUGUC